rnacentral:rRNA from 1 species
UAUGGCCACAUCAUGUUCAAACACCACUUCCUGUACAAUAACUGAAGCUAAGCAACAUCGAGCCUGGUCAGUACCUAGAUGGGUGACUGCUUGGGAAUACCAGAUGCUGUAA